CCCUUCCCCAUUUCAACAUCUUCAUUUCUACUUUUCACGGUGAAAUCUAAACACCUCCAUCCUUGAUCUAAUUUUUCAAUAGUUCUUGUAAUUGCUAUCCUAGCUUUGCAAAAUGCUACUUCUAGCACAUCAUAGAUGCAGAUGUUGAAUCGAAGGUUAUUUACCGGCAUUCCUCAAAUUACAACGAUCAGUGUUCACAACCAAGAUAAGUAUUUUUGUUCUUUGUUCUUUUUUUUUGAAAAUUUGUUCUUUGUUCUUAAAUCUAUAUGAUUUUCUAAUUCUUAUCUGAAUUUGUUCGCAUUUGUGGUAGUACAUAGUUUGAGUUCGUAAUUUUGUGAUUUUUUUAAGGAUCAUAUGUCAAUUCAUCUUGCAUGUUGUUCUAUUGUAGUAUUUUUGACUUAUCUAUGCUAUUCUCUAGUCAUUCAGGGUUUAAAUUUGUCAAUGUAAGUUCUUAUUUGAAUUUCAAUUACUCGAAAAUUCAGUUUUUUUUUUCCACACUCUAUGUUGGCUUAGAUCCAAUUUCUAAAAAAAAAAUUAUCAUAACAGUGUUAGCUUUUCCAUAUAUUUUGAAUCUGAAAAUUAAUUACUAACUUAUGGCUUUUUUGCUACUAACUCAUGUAGUACAACUAUGCAAUUAUGCGUAUUGUUCAAUAUUUUCUAAUCUAUGGUAUGUUAUAUGAAUAGUAUAAUUAAGUCUAUCUCAUAUGAAUUUGAGAUAGUAUGUUACAAAAUCCCUAAUUUGUUUUAAAUUACUUUAUAUCCUAUGAAACUGAACUUAAAUUUAUUACUGCACUUCUAGUUGUAAGCCUAACACUAAGUAAAUGUUAUAGUUCUAAAUACUCCUAUGAAUGACAAACCACAUUAUGUUAAAGGUUUAUAGUUUCAUUGCAUAGUUGCAUUUCAGUUGUUAAAUUAGUAGAAUCUUUGACAACAAUAUGCUUAGUUAAACAUAUGCUAAUUAGGCAUUCCUAAUCUAACUAAAAGUCAACUUAUAAAUGUGGACAAAAACUGUACUAAUUUGGUACAUUAGUAGUAAUGUUGUUUCUGUUAAUCACUAAGAGGCUUAUGUACUCAUACUUGAAAUGUGUGUUUCUGAUUCUGAUUUACAUUUCAUUGAUUUAUAUAGACAUUCACUGGUAUCAUAUAUAUUACUCUGAUUUAAAAAAUGCAACUAUGUUUUAUAAAUGUAUUCUAGAAGUAGAACUCAGAGUUGUAAACUUACCUUUGUUUUUAGCUAUCUGCUUCCUCUUCUUACCAAUGAUUGUUGAAGAAGUUAUUUUCUUCAUAUUCUUCAACAGCUAUAUGAUUGAAUACAUAUGAUUGAAUACUGUGGAGUUUUUUAAAAUUGUUCAACAGCUAUAUAUAUAUUAGUUAUGGUUUCAUAAGGCAGGAAUCAUAAUAGUUUUUAAGCCUAAAUUUUGGUCUUUAUAACUGUUGAUUCCAAUAUCCUAAUUAUAUUUAAUACUAUUGUGUGCAGGCAUUACAUAUCUGUGAGAACACUAAAAGGUUUAAUUAUUGCAUGAUUUCAUUUCCCUAUGCAGUAUGUUGUGUACUUAAUUAGUGUAAAGGUAGCAUAUGUUGAAUUCCAUAUUCAAAUGCUAGGCUUUGGACCUUCAUAUCUCAGAGUUAGCAAUUAUGCUCAGGUGAAUAAUGAGGAAGGAGAUGUACUUGUUCAUCAUGGACCCUUACGUUCCCCGCUCUUAUUCCUGAAGGUUGAUAAAUCACGAGCAAGAACGUAUAUCCCCAUAUUGGAAUGACACUCUUUAAUUCUGAUAAAAUAGUACUUUUGCGAUUGUUUGAAUUGAGUGAUUAAACCUGUAUUAUAUAGGCUUCAGUUGUAGAUAGGCCAAGAGUUUUAGACCUAAAUGGUCUCUACAAUAGUUUUAAUUACAUAGAUUUAUUAUAGUAGAAGAAGAUAUAUAUAUAUAUAACACAGGAACCCAAGUAAGUUUAAACUUAUACCUUAAUGGAAUUUAUAAGAAAAUUUCAUGUGGGA